CACGUAGGGUGCGAGCGUUGUCCGGAAUUAUUGGGCGUAAAGAGCUCGUAGGCGGUGUGUCGCGUCGGCCGUGAAAACCUGCAGCUUAACUGUGGGCUUGCGGUCGAUACGGGCAUGACUGGAGUUCGGCAGGGGAGACUGGAAUUCCUGGUGUAGCGGUGAAAUGCGCAGAUAUCAGGAGGAACACCUGAGGCGAAGGCGGGCUACUGGGCCGAUACUGACGCUGAGGCGCGAAAGCCAGGGGAGCAAACGGG
rnacentral:rRNA from 1 species